rnacentral:rRNA from 1 species
GCAACCGGGGGGGUCUAAGCCAUGCGAGUCAUUGUAGCAAUACAAGGCAGACGGCUCAGUAACGCGUAGUCAAUCUACCCUAUGGACGGGAAUAACCUCGGGAAACUGAGAAUAAUGCCCGAUAGAACAUUAUACCUGGAACGGUUUAUGUUUCAAAUGAUUUAUCGCCGUAGGAUGGGACUGCGGCCUAUCAGUUUGUUGGUGAGGUAAUGGCCCACCAAGACUAUUACAGGUACGGGCUCUGAGAGGAGUAGCCCGGAGAUGGGUACUGAGACACGGACCCAGGCCCUAUGGGGCGCAGCAGGCGAGAAAACUUUGCAAUGUGCGAAAGCACGACAAGGUUAAUCCGAGUGGUUUCUGCUAAAGAAACCUUUUGCUAGUCCUAGAAACACUAGUGAAUAAGGGGUGGGCAAGUUCUGGUGUCAGCCGCCGCGGUAAAACCAGCACCUCAAGUGGUCAGGAUGAUUAUUGGGCCUAAAGCAUCCGUAGCUCGUUUUGUAAGUUUUCGGUUAAAUCCAUACGCUCAACGUAUGGGCUGCCGGGAAUACUGCAUAACUAGGAAGUGGGAGAGGUAGACGGUACUCGGUAGGAAGGGGUAAAAUCCUUUGAUCUAUUGAUGACCACCUGUGGCGAAGGCGGUCUACCAGAACACGUUCGACGGUGAGGGAUGAAAGCUGGGGGAGCAAACCGGAUUAGAUACCCGGGUAGUCCCAGCUGUAAACUAUGCAAACUCAGUGAUGCAUUGGCUUGUGGCCAAUGCAGUGCUGCAGGGAAGCCGUUAAGUUUGCCGCCUGGGAAGUACGUACGCAAGUAUGAAACUUAAAGGAAUUGGCGGGGGAGCACCACAAGGGGUGAAGCCUGCGGUUCAAUUGGAGUCAACGCCGGG